rnacentral:lncRNA from 1 species
AUCCAACCCGGGCGGAGAUGUGACAUAAAAUCACAAUACAUAGCAUGUAACAUAUUAAAGAAUCAACAAAGCACAAUAUUAUUUUCUAGCCACAUCGAUCAACUAAAACAAACAUACUAAUAAUAAUCAUAUCCAGUGUCGUUCCACAAUCCCAUCAAUUAAUCAAUUCAUGAAUCAAAGAUGCACGAUCUUCUCAUUUAAUUACAUUAAUCAAUCAAUGCAAUAACAUAUCAUUUCACGAAUUUAACAAAGGAACUCUAUAUAAUUCCAUACUUGGAUUAUGAGUAAUAAACAUGAUAAUUCUAAUUUGUAUUCACAAGAUCUAUUGUGAGUAAUUCUCAUUCACUCGAAUCUAGGGUUCUAGACUAAUUUAUGGGAAUGAGCGAAAGCAAGGAUUCCGGACCACUCAACAGAAUCCAACAACAUCGGAUUCUGGACCACUCAAUGGAACCAAAAUACCAAACGGUUUCUUGUAAUCUACCCAUACCUGACAUAUGUAAAAUUAGUGUCUAUAUCAAGGGAAUGGUGCACUGGCAAAUCAGAACUCGGUUAAGCUACAAAGCUCGGGUGAGUGACAAUAAUACAAGUAUGUGAUAUUCAAUAAAAAGAAAGGUCAUCGAUCACAGUUUAUAGACCUCAAAUAUAAGUAAGUAUGGAAACAAAGUCAAGUCUCUAACAACUCCGAAGGAGUCACCUAGACAUCCAACGACUUUUCCCAUUCAAACCACCAAGAUUCUCAAAAACCAUCGUUCAUAUGUACACUAAAAACUAAGGCUAGAGGGACGUAGUUCGGCCAAAGCCUACAUAAGUAACCAAACAGGAAGUGGCCACCCAAAAUGGAUUAACCAAGCAGAGACACCCCUGAAAAAGUAACCAAGUAGGCAGUAACCCCCCCAAUGCGGAUUAACCAAGCAAAGUCACUCCUACAGUUGUCAGUAAGUGAUCACCCAAUACGGAUUAACCAAGUAUGAUCACUCCUAAGCAUACAUGGCCAUAAAGAUCGCCCAACGCGGAUUAACCAAGAGCGAUCCAUAUAUAGUAUGGUCACCCAAUGCGGAUUAACCAAGCAGAACCACUAGUGACCCCCCAAUGCUGAUUAACCAAGCAGGGUCAAGAUAAUCAGGUAGAUAGUGACCCCCCAAUACGGAUUAACCAAGCAGGGCUAUAGUCCCUUACUAGCCCUUGAUUACAAAACAUUUCAAUAUGCAAUUCGAAUCACUUUUUCACAAAUAUUACCAAUCCAUGAAUCAAAUCACAUUUAAUAAAAAUAGAUCAAUGGCCAAUUAUAAAAGAAUCACAUUUUAACAGAAAACACAUUUAUAAAACCAUGUCAUAUCCACAAAGGAUAUUAAUAUAAAGAAUCGCGUAAUCACAAUAUCACAUAUAUUAAAGUCACUCACCGAAGACAAAUCCGUAAAGCUUCACUGAGUCUCUAGUAAUACUAAUUUUAGUAAUUCAAAUAGUUCAAGACCUGUUGACCACAAGUUAACAGUGGGGUCUACACCCUAGCAAUUUAAUCUGAAAGAUUCGCACAUCACGAUUUAGAUCAGUAACUUCUUAAGGUCCACAUUAUGCUCAAAGAACAACAUACUAAAAUCUCAUCGCGAUCCGACAGUUGGAUCUCCACCAAUUGCUAGAAUUAGGUGGUGGUUAACAAUUAAUUUUACUAACUUAGAAAUCUAAUUCGUGAAGAUCUGUACGUUGGAUUCCUGAUCCGUCAGUUCCUGUUAUCCUCAAAUAUUAUAUUCUAUAGGGUUUGAUAACGAUCCAACGGUCGGAUUGAUGAUUCAUAUUUUGAUCAAGUAAUGUAUCAUAAUGAAACUAACUUCAAACAAUCAAAGUACAUCAUACAGAUAUCAAUUAUGGAAUCAGGGCAUCAAAUUGAACUUAGGUAGACAUCAUCGACCCACUGGCCACGCGCCGCCGUGGG